rnacentral:rRNA from 1 species
UUUUAUGAGAGUUUGAUCCUGGCUCAGGACGAACGCUGGCGGCGUGCCUAAUACAUGCAAGUCGAACGCUUCUUUUUCCACCGGAGCUUGCUCCACCGGAAAAAGAGGAGUGGCGAACGGGUGAGUAACACGUGGGUAACCUGCCCAUCAGAAGGGGAUAACACUUGGAAACAGGUGCUAAUACCGUAUAACAAUCGAAACCGCAUGGUUUUGAUUUGAAAGGCGCUUUCGGGUGUCGCUGAUGGAUGGACCCGCGGUGCAUUAGCUAGUUGGUGAGGUAACGGCUCACCAAGGCCACGAUGCAUAGCCGACCUGAGAGGGUGAUCGGCCACAUUGGGACUGAGACACGGCCCAAACUCCUACGG